rnacentral:rRNA from 1 species
CAGCCGCCGCGGGAAUACAGAGGGUGCGAGCGUUAAUCGGAUUUACUGGGCGUAAAGCGUGCGUAGGCGGCUUCUUAAGUCGGAUGUGAAAUCCCUGAGCUUAACUUAGGAAUUGCAUUCGAUACUGGGAAGCUAGAGUAUGGGAGAGGAUGGUAGAAUUCCAGGUGUAGCGGUGUAAUGCGUAGAGAUCUGGAGGAAUACCGAUGGCGAAGGCAGCCAUCUGGCCUAAUACUGACGCUGAGGUACGAAAGCAUGGGGAGCAAACAGGAUUAGAUACCCCCGUAGUCCCUGUCUCUUAUAC